UACGGAGGGGGCUAGCGUUGUUCGGAAUUACUGGGCGUAAAGCGUACGUAGGCGGCUUUGUAAGUUAGAGGUGAAAGCCCGGGGCUCAACCCCGGAACUGCCUUUAAGACUGCAUCGCUUGAAUCCGGGAGAGGUGAGUGGAAUUCCGAGUGUAGAGGUGAAAUUCGUAGAUAUUCGGAAGAACACCAGUGGCGAAGGCGGCUCACUGGACCGGUAUUGACGCUGAGGUGCGAAAGCGUGGGGAGCAAACAGG
rnacentral:rRNA from 1 species